rnacentral:misc_RNA from 1 species
CUCUAUCGCGUAAAUUGCCGCUUGGGCCAUCUCCCAAUCCCAACUCGUUCUUUGUUCCGAUCGCGGACUCCAUAUUGUUAAGAUGUCCGACGGCAGCUUCCUUCGGUUGCUUCAUAUCAGGUUUCAAAAUGCAGAAGUGGGGACUACGCGCACCAGUCGCUGUACCAGUAUGGAUUGUUGACUGUUGUUGACUGUAUACUUUGCUCCGCUCCAUCCACCACCAAUGGUUUUUAAUCUCUGAACGUGGUUAUACCACGUUAUGUACGCUCUACUCAAGUUUGAGAAACGACGUGCAUCACGAUGCGCGUUUCAUAACAUUCCGAUCUCAGUGGACGGAUCGAGAAGUAUGCUGAAAUAUAAUGCGGCAGAAUGAUAUAUUUUCCGGCAUUUUUUCUCAUUUUAUCGUGGUUCGGGAGCAGACUGCAGGGUUCCAAUAUCAAUAAUACUCUAACGUCAUGGACUGGUGGACCACGUGCCAAACUGGAGGUAUGGCCUCAGAUCGUAAAUGGAGACGGACAGAAAUUGAUGCUACGUAGGAAAAAUGAACCCUUGAACAUGACCUGUACAGCGGUUUAUCAGAGCGGUGAAAAAAAUAAUGAACUUUUAUCCGAUUACAUAGUCGACUGGAAAGUGCCUUUUCAUGUAAAUAAUCGCGGAACCAAAAUGGAACGUGGUCAGGGUCCUAAUGUGGCGUGGCUGUGGUUUGAAAGGCUGGCCGAGAAAGAUGCAGGAGAUUACAGAUGUAUGGCAGUUUCUGUAAAUUCCCAGAAGCAGCAGACAUUGUCCUUAAAUAUUCAUCUAACCGUUAAACAUAAGAUUAUGUACUGUGAUCCUCGAUGGUUCAAAUGUCACUCAUCCAUUUGUAUAAUGCCACGAUUCAUGUGCGACGGUAAACGGGAUUGCGAAGACGGAGAGGACGAAAGUAUGGCAGCGGGCUGUGGUCCAGACCCUUGCGUCGGAAAAAUAUACUGUGACGAAAGAUGCAUCCCACCUGACUGGUGCUGCGAUCAACAUAAUUGUAGCGCGAAUUCACAGUUAGCACGUCCAGAACCUCCUACCAUACAUCCACGUUUCGGAGACAUGAGCUUUUUACAGACGACUAUGUUUACGAUCAUUGGUUGCGCAAUGGCCUUUAUGUUCAUAGUGACUAUAUUAAUGAUAGCCAUAUGCAGAGUUCAGAUGAAAAGGGCUAUGAAUUCUAGAUGCUCGCAGCCGAUGAACAUGACUUAUUCGAGACCACAUCACGCAACACCACUAUAUGACCUCGACGUUUAUUUGAAUAGAACCAUGGAUAUCAAUAACCCAGGCGGAGUGAAUGUCAUGUACAACAUCAACAGCGGAGUACAAUUUGUGGGACAACCAGUCGAGCCUCCACCUUAUUCAGAAGUCGUGUUUGUCCCUCCUCGAGAAGGUCCACCUCCACCAUACAUGUCCUACGAUAAUCUCUUAGAAUUGCCCACGGUUCAAGGUGUUUCACCUGUAACUGGUUCUAACAUACCUCUACACGAUAAUCUCGAAGCGUUGGCUCUUAAUCACGCUGUAAACAACGAAGGCGUUGAAUUAACGGAUACAGGACUCUCUUGGACGUCGGGGGCGGUAAUAGCGUUAUGGAGACCGGAGGUGGACCGAUGACUCUUCCCUCGACCUGGCCAGGCUGCCUACCCUGGACUCCCGUGGAGGGUCCCCUUGAGUCCGGGGACAGGACCGGAACCACUCGAAAACUUGCAGAGGAUCGAGUUACCCACCGUGCAGGCAAGAGGCAGGAUGUCGACCUAUGGUUUUGCACCCUGCCAAGAAGAAGAAGACCUAAACUCUCCGAGGACUUCUGCGGGACCUACGAUCGCUCCUUCUUGCUCCCGUUUCAUCGGUACUAUAUUAAGACCGUGGGAUUACGUGGAUUCAUCCGACCCCGUGAUGCCGGGUCGGGCAUCGCGACAAAAGGCUCCAGGUGGACGUGCAGCGAGCAGAAGGAUCUUAUACUCCGGCGAUACGAACCGCGAGGUUCACGAGACGUCCGCAAGAAGCCAAUAAACCUUCGACGUACCCGGAGGCUGUGGACAAAGAUUUCGACCGGACAAUGGAAGGCCGGACCUUAGGGCGGCCUCGACAUCAAUCCACUGGAUCAUGUACCGUUGUCAUGUACUAUAGCGACGCACAUAUCAUGGCAUUACUACCUCAUCCGAAUACCACGAUUCAAGGUAUCCUUGAAACCGUUCGCCAUAAAAAUGGGGAUGACUUCAACCACUAGAUAGCCCUACGAUCGAAUUCGGUGAAAAAUCAAAUUCU